rnacentral:lncRNA from 12 species
UGAGGGAUUGCAUAGGGGCGAAAAACUUUUUCAUGUUUCCCUUCUAGGUUCUUCGGCCUAUCUAAUAAUUAAAUUGACAUAAGACAGAUUAACAAGAGAAAAACAAAUUCUGUAUACAUACAGGAGCCCCAUAAAAAUAUGGGGAGCCCCCCCCCCCCACCCCGCAGUCAGGUAAUUGAGGCUGAUAGGUCAUCCUGAGCUCCGAAGGCAGUAGUGGUCUGGGCCUUCAAAGAAGAGGAAGACCGUUCACAGGAAGAUGGGAAGAGCAGAUGUUGGUAAACUUUUCUCUGUUACACAGAUAAGCCAUUGUGAUGUAAGAAGUUAUCUCUGGUGACAGCUCUGGGGGAGGAGGGCAGUUUAGGUGCAGGUAAAAAGCUCUUCCUGAGUCUGAGCUCAGAGUCUUCAGUUCAACAGGAUCCACAUGGCCAAAGUAGCAUGUUCAGGGUCCUGUUGCUACUCCUCUCCGACUGCCAAUUCAGUUGGUGUGGAUUGACAUCCUUAAGGGCUGCGAGGCUGCUGUUCUUUAUUAAGAGAGAUUCGCAGUGUUCGGACCGCAGGCUCAGCUGGAGCCCGACCUCAUCUCAGAGAUGGGGUCCUUGAGGGGGACUGUCCCCGUGAGCCCCUUCCACAGAGUCCCACCAAGGCCCGUGUUGCCUCUCUGAUUUCACACCGCUGCCCAGAGCACAGCAUUUCAGAAACCAACUGUUUUAAGGUGAGUGAUUCUCUUCGCUAAACUCAAGACUGGCAACCCUAGCACACAUGCACACACACACACACACACACAUACACACCCCUCUUCAUUUCUAGCAGUAUCUUAUCACCUUGGUGAAGAGUGCAGUGAAGCAGAAAACAAAUUCAGGAAGUGACAGAUGACACAAGCAUUUGUCCAAUUAGCAAUAAGAAAAUCACAAGCGCCAGUGGUGAGCACUCAUGUUGAACAGCCAGCUCAGCAAAGAGCCUUGCUCCGCGUCUCUCUGAUCUAAUUAGAACCAUUCAAGCCACGACUGACCAGCUUUUCCCUGCAUUUUUAGUAUCCUGCAGACCCUGUGCUCUCUUGGGCGUUAAUGAGGAACAUGAAGCCAUCAAUAGUUUUGAUUAAGCCAAAGACCAUUGCGCUAUUUAGAUGCACCAUAUUUCAUCCAUUCAAAACAUGCCUUUUCCCUCCCACAUUUUAACAUCUUUAAAAUCAAAACGUGCCUUAGAAUCAAGGCAAUCAUGGUACAGUUGUCAUUGCCUCUGCGUGGCAAACUUGGUCCCAGCUGUUUAUAUUGUCAUCUGAAUUUCAGCUGAGUUCAAUAUGUGGUUGCAACAACGGGUAUCGAGGUUCAAUGCCAUUUAAAAGGCUCCCGAAAGAUUAUCCUACAUUUUGGCACUCAAAUAAUGAGCUAUUGUGUAUGCAUAAAGAAACAGAGGAGUGGGGUGUAAAUUGACAUUUGUGAAGCAAAUAUUUGUUGUUAUAGGAACAACUGCAAUUCUAUACUUUCUCACAAAGCUACAAGCGACUGCUUUCAAGGCCUUAAAAAAAGAAGAAACCCACAAGAAAUGAAGCAGUUAUAUUUGCCCCACACCAUGCGAUGCAAUGGAAAGCAGGAGUAAUGAC